UUGAGAGUUUGAUCCUGGCUCAGAACGAACGCUGGCGGCAUGCCUAACACAUGCAAGUCGAGCGAGAUCUUCGGAUCUAGCGGCGGACGGGUGAGUAACGCGUGGGAAUAUGCCCUUCUCUACGGAAUAGCCUCGGGAAACUGAGAGUAAUACCGUAUACGCCCUUCGGGGGAAAGAUUUAUCGGAGAAGGAUUAGCCCGCGUUAGAUUAGAUAGUUGGUGGGGUAAUGGCCUACCAAGUCUACGAUCUAUAGCUGGUUUUAGAGGAUGAUCAGCAACAUUGGGACUGAGACACGGCCCAGACUCCUACGGGAGGCAGCAGUGGGGAAUCUUAGACAAUGGGGGCAACCCUGAUCUAGCCAUGCCGCGUGAGUGACGAAGGCCCUAGGGUCGUAAAGCUCUUUCGCCAGGGAUGAUAAUGACAGUACCUGGUAAAGAAACCCCGGCUAACUCCGUGCCAGCAGCCGCGGUAAUACGGAGGGGGCAAGCGUUAUUCAGUUUAAUUUGGUGUAAAGGGUUCGUAGGUUGUAUUUAGGUUGUUUAAAUUAAAAUCAAGAGACUUAACCUCUUUAAUAUUUUUAAAAACACUUUUACUAGAGUAUAAAAAAAGAUUAUAGAAUUUUAAGGGUAGAGAUAAAAUUCUAAGAUCCUUAAAGGAACACCAAAAGCGAAAGCAAUAGUCUUGUUUAUUACUGACACUGAGGAACGAAAGGAUAGGGAGCAAACAGGAUUAGUGACCCUGGUAGUCUAUCCCGUAAACUAUGAGUGCUGAUAUUUAGAAUUUAAAAUUUUGGGUAUUAAGUUAACACGUUAAGCACUCCACCUGAGGAGUAUAGUCGCAAGGCUGGAACUCAAAGGAAUUGACGGGGGCC
rnacentral:rRNA from 1 species